AGCAUAUAAAGAACCAACUUUAAUGCUUAUUAUUUUAAAAUAUUCUUUAAAAUUUCCAAUAUAGGGUCUAAUUUUAAUCUAGUUCUACGUUGUUUAUUUUUCUUACAAAUUUUAUUUGAUAUUAAAUUAAUAUCAUUCAUCAUAUAUAAAACAAAAUAAUUGACUAUUGGUCAAUAAUUUCUGAAUUCAUUACAAUUUAAAGUAACACCAAAAAUUACUGAGGAAGAGUGAUGUUUCAGUUAUUGAAUAGGUUUUAUAACAUAACAGCUGUUACACAUUUGGAGAUAUAAAGACGCUGAAAACCUGAAACGUUCUGCUUAAGAAAAUGCUUUCUAAUGUCCUUAAUUAGGUCUUUGACAGUUUAUAUGUACAGUCAUCCAGUGUUUCUGAGACAUUGACAAAAGCAUUUUUUUCCGCUUUCUUUUUAUUUCUGGAUGCUGUUUCAAGUGUGGUGGCAUAAAAAUACAGGAAAGACAUCACCUUCUCUAUGGAGUUUGUCUGCUGUCAGAAACUAUAACAUGUUGAAAACCUGGGGUAUUUUAUCCCUAGAAUUUAUUUCUACCAGAAAGUUACCACUUUAUAUAUUCUGCCAACAAGCUUGCUUGCAAAAGAAGAAGCCACUAUUAUUCCUGAGUCAGUGGCAUGAACACAUGGACUGCAGAGAUAACAGAAGUAAGAUUUGAUGAUUGACUUCCUUGUGUCAAAUUAUGUUCUAAAGUGGCAGUUUCCUGUGAUUCUUAUUCUUACUGAUUUUUUGAACACUAGCAAUGACUUCCCUGAUCUUGCUUUAUCACUCAUCCCAAAGAUUUGGUAACUUUCCAAUCUCUGUAUUACAUCCCUUUCAGUUUGAAAUCUCAAGCAAUUUCUGUUUUUCUAAUCUACUUCUGACCGAUAUGCAGAAUUUCAACAGCUGCCCAAGGUCUCACAGUUAAUCAGAUUUGAAUCCAGAUCUGUCCAGCUUUUGACUAUAUGAAUUGGUGAGUUCUGUAUCUUUCUUCUGACCAUUGUGGGUUGUUUUACAUUCAUAAAUGGUGAGUAGCAUGUUUGGAGUUCUGUAGGGGGAAGAGACUAUACCUCUAUAUCUAAAUCUAAUCUAUGUAGUACUCAUAUCACUUUGUGUUUCCUUAGACUGAUUUGGAGAAUUCUGAGGCAAAUUAAAAUAUAUAGUUACAAGGAAACAAGAAAGAACUAUCUGAAGAUUUGAAUUACUCCUUUUGUUGUUUUUCAUAGCCAUGGGUUAAAGAGGGAGGAUAGUAGAGAUUAGCAAGAGGAAAACAAGAGAUUUGUGAUUUGGAGUGACACAACUAUUGAUCCAGUUAUAGCCACCCAUCCCUGCAUUUGUAUGUUUGGGAGAGUAUUUUUGAAAAUAUUAAAUUCUAGUCAUUGUCAAUAUUUGUAGUAUAAUGUAAAUAUUAUCUAGAAGGGGCUGAUUUGUGUAAAAUAUUUAGUUUGAUUCAGGGAGAAUAAAUAACAAAUCACAUCAUUGUUGCUACCAUUCAUCUUAUCAAAGUUAACAAUUAAAUUUAGAAACAUGCUCAUUCAUACAUUAUUGACAUUUCAGACAAUAUAUUUUAUUUUCUUUUUUUUUUUUUUUUUUUUUUUAAUUAAUUUAUUAUUAUUAUACUUUAAGUUGUAGGGUACAUGUGCAUAACGUGCAGGUUUGUUACAUAUGUAUACUUGUGCCUUGUUGCUGUGCUGCACCCAUCAACUCGUCAUUUACAUCAGGUAUAACUCCCAAUGCAAUCCCUCCCCCCUCCCCCCUCCCCUUCCCCCCCUCCCCCUCCCAUGAUAGGCCCCGGUGUGUGAUGUUCCCCUUCCUGAGUCCGAGUGAUCUCAUUGUUCAGUUCCCACCUAUGAGUGAGAACAUGCGGUGUUUGGUUUUCUGUUAUUUUCUUAUAAAUAACUAGCUCUGCAACAAUGUUUUACUUUUCUAUUCAUCAGCUUGUUUUUAAAAUUUUUUGAAAGGACAGAGAAUGAAAGUUGAAUUAACAAUGAAGCAAUUAAUUUAAUUGCAAAAGAAAUGACUAGGCAAAACAUAAAGUGUAAA
ensembl:lncRNA